AGAGAAUUGGCCGAGUGGUUUAAGGCGGUAAGCUUGAGUCUUAUUAGGUUAUAUUCUAGCCGGGCAUCCUUGUUCAAAUCGGAUAUUCUCUG
rnacentral:tRNA from 1 species